rnacentral:RNase_P_RNA from 1 species
CCAGUCGGCCGGACGGCCGCUCUCGCGGGAACGCAGGUUCUCGCGGGGGAGGAAAGUCCGGGCUCCACGGAAAAUCGGUGCCGGAUAACGUCCGGCGGGGGCGACCCCAGGGAAAGCGCCACAGAGAUCGAACCGCCGCGUGCCGACAGCUUCGGCUGUCCCGCGCGGUAAGGGUGAAAAGGUGCGGUAAGAGCGCACCGCGGACCCGGCA